AUACGGAGGGUGCAAGCGUUAAUCGGAAUUACUGGGCGUAAAGCGCGCGUAGGCGGUUUAGUCAGUCAGAUGUGAAAGCCCCGGGCUCAACCUGGGAACUGCAUUUGAUACUGCUGAACUAGGGUAUGGUAGAGGGAAGUGGAAUUCCGGGUGUAGCGGUGAAAUGCGUAGAUAUCCGGAGGAACACCAGUGGCGAAGGCGACUUCCUGGACCAAUACUGACGCUGAGGUGCGAAAGCGUGGGUAGCAAACAGGAUUAGAAACCCGAGUAGUCC
rnacentral:rRNA from 1 species